rnacentral:rRNA from 1 species
AGGGUUUGAUUAUGGCUCAGGACGAACGCUGGCGGUGCGCCUUAUGCAUGCAAGUCGAGCGAAGCUUUUCAGUAGUUUACUACAGAAAAUGACUGAGCGGCGAACGGGUGAGUAACGCGUGAGCAAUCUACCUUAGUUACCGGGAUAGCCCGAGGAAACUCGGAUUAAUACCGGAUAAUCUUAUUACAUCACAUGAUAUUUUAAGUAAAGGUCAGCCGAACUAAGAUGAGCUCGCGUUCUAUCAGCUUGUUGGUGGGGUAAAAGCCUACCAAGGCUACGACGGAUAGCUGGUCUGAGAGGACGAUCAGCCACACUGGGACUGAGACACGGCCCAGACUCCUACGGGAGGCUGCAGCAGGGAAUAUUGUGCAAUGAGCGAAAGCUUGACACAGCGACACCGCGUGUGGGAUGACGGUUCUAGGAUUGUAAACCACUUUCAGGAGGGAAGAAAAUGACGGUACCUCCACAAGAAGCCCCGGCCAACUACGUGCCAGCAGCCGCGGUAAUAC